UCCCUUUUUUAUGGUGUUCUAUGUUGCCAAUGUGCCAACCUCACCAAGGAUAUGAAACACUAAGUUGCAAAUGGCACCACAGAUGCCUUAAGAACAAAGCAGUUAUGGAGCUGGGCUGGAAAAGCUUAAGCUGAUCUCACAUUCAACAAACACAUACAAUAUCACCAAUAACGCCUGGAGAUCCUCCAUGUGGAAGUCAUGUGACCUUCCAGAACUUCCUCAGGACGAGCAGGAAGUCCAUAGCUGCUGCCUCACUGCUGAUGGACCCGCUAAUGUGCCCCCAUGCAGGCUUGAACAGGUGCCCCUGUCACAGCCUAGUGUGGAGCCGAGUUUUGUGGGUUUUGCUGGGUUUUGCUGUAGGAGUCAGAGUGCCGAACAACUUUCCAUAAAUGCUUACAACAUCAAACCACCCAGGGCUCCAGGGUGUUCACUGUGAGCUGUCAAAACCCUGGCUCCUUUGGCAGCCACAACCGUAAUUGACCGUAUCUGACAAAGCUUACAGAUAGAACCAAGGAGACAAAACUUGACUGGAACAGUUUCAUCAUGAAGCUACAGUGUUCACUGUUACCAGACUGAUUUCACUUGGAGUUUUUAGAGAGCAUAUUCCUACACUCAACCAUGCAGAUAAACAGCUCAUGUCCUACAUAGGCCAUGUGAGCUUACUGCUUCUCAAAUAACUAUUUCCAACUCCAAAUACAACUGGAAACAACGUCAGAACUUAGAGAACUUCAGAAGAGGAUUGCAAGUCACAUCAGAUCCCACUGUACAACACUAAAAGCAGACCAUGAAGUCACCAUCUCCUGGAACUGGGCCCGGGGGACAGCACCUUAUUUCCCACAGCCCAAUGGAACCCGAAGACUAGUGUUAAGAGAACAGAUGCCCUCCAACCUACUCCCCUCAAGCCAACACAGUGUCCUUCACAUAGUCACAUCGCAUAUUCUCACCUGCUGUUUGAUACCCCAAUGUCCAGCCCCAGGAUGAAAUCCACACACUCUCUUCCUCACUCCACCUCUCACUCUUGGUCUGUGGUAACAUCACUGGGCCUGACAGUCUUCUCUGCUCCACAGCCAUGCUGAGCUGUAGGAAGUCACCCUACAGACAGAGAGAAAGGCCUACGCACUUGAAGCCAAUCAUCACAAAAUGGAGAUUCAGACUAUCACUUAAUGGGGCCACAGUGCAGAGGUGAGGCCAUGCCAGUUCACAGAAUGACAGCAGGUUUGAGGCAGGGUAAAAGCCCAGUAAGUGAGACCCUUCUGCACGGCAGGUCAAGAGGCCUGGAGAAGUCAAAAGGGAAUGCCACAGAAGGAACGGGAACAGUGCUCUAGAGGCGCAUUGUUCCUCAAAGCAAGGCUGCCAUAUUGUUAACCACCUGCUGGCGUGAUGGUGCGUGUGGGGUAGGACGGCAGGAGGGACACACACGAAUUUUGAGCUUCCUAGAAGAUGACACUUUCAGAGCUUAAGCAAGCUGAGUGUUUCCUUCAAGCUGGAGCAUUGAGGACAAUGAUCUUCAAAUACAAUGGGGCUAUGAGGGAGCUUUUAAAUCUGUGAGGAUCCCAGAGUUUCUAUAGUUGCCUGUCAAAUCACAGAGGAUUAUAAACAUAAACGAGCCUCUGGCGUCUCCUCUCUUACUAGAA